AACGAACGCUGGCGGCAUGCCUAACACAUGCAAGUCGAACGAGACCUUCGGGUCUAGGGGCGCACGGGGGCGUAACGCGGGGGAACCUGCCCGUAGGUUCGGAAUAACUCCCCGAGAGGGGUGCUAAGACCGGAUAAUGUCUUCGGACCAAGGAUUUAUCGCCGUUGGAUGGGCGCGCGUUGGAUUAGCUGGUUGGUAGGGUAAAAGCAUACCAAGGCGACGAUGCAUAGCUGGUCUGAGAGGAUGAUCAGCCACACUGGGAAUGAGACACGGCCCAGACUCCUACGGGAGGCAGCAGUGGGGAAUAUUGGACAAUGGGCGCAAGCCUGAUACAGCCAUGCCGCGUGAGUGAUGAAGGCCUUAGGGUUGUAAAGCUCUUUUACCCGGGAUGAUAAUGACAGUACCGGGAGAAUAAGCUCCGGCUAACUCCGUG
rnacentral:rRNA from 1 species